ACAGGCCACCCAAGCUCCCAGGCUACCAUUUGGAGAUCGUUGCUUCGGAGGAAUCCCGGGUCAGGCUGCUGGAAUCUGGACUCACACUUCCGAAACCUCAGUGUUCUGAUCGAUGCUUUACAAGCUGGCUUUGCCCACCUCUCCCAUGGAACACCCUUCCUCCACUGGUCUUUUGAAAUUAUUGCUGUUGGUCUGAUUUUGCUGCCUCUGCUACCAGACGGAUACUGAUGACAAGCUGAGAGGAAGGAGGAAAAAAAUCUCGUAAAAAAAGAGGAAUUUUUAGUCACAAAAAGGAAAUUAUGCCUGCUAAGUGAGACAAGAUGUGAAUUGGCCUUAAAAAGGAGCAGACAUGAAUGUUAAGUGGCAGCUUUGUGCUGAAGGUGGGCAGGCGGCCUUGAGUGGCUGAAGAGGAAGACCGGGGGUGUGGAGGCGGUGGAUCCUUCUAG
rnacentral:lncRNA from 1 species